ensembl:lncRNA OLMALINC oligodendrocyte maturation-associated long intergenic non-coding RNA
UUUUUUCCUUUUUUUUUUUUUCCCGGGGAGUCGGCCUCGGGGCUCUGCUCUCCUACCUCAGUCUGCCCUACCCUGGAAUGGGGAAAAUGCGGACAUGCCACUCAGUCCGGCCGCGAACAGUGCUCCAGAACUCAGAGAGUUUUCCAGACGGGUGGAGAUCGCGUUCCCUGCCCGCCGAGGUCCCAUCGCUUCCCUGCUGGGAAGACAAAUGAGGCGCUUUAGCCGUCUCCACGGCCAGCCCCUCCCUCAUAACCCGAGAUUCUUUGUGGGCUCUUAGUCCAUAGCUGCCUUUGAGGUGGUGUAGACCUUGCUAACCAGGACGGCCCAGUAGGCAGAGCUCAUUUUUAUUCCUGUCUGCAAUCGUGCAAAAACGCCUCUUAUGGAAAAGCCAGAGCGCCAGGAGUCAGCAAAACACACUAAAGAUUGGGCAGUCACUGGGGAGAACACUCAGCCCGCCUGCACCCAGGUGAAAUAUACAGCCUUGUUGCUCACACAAAGCCUGUUUGGUGGUUUCUUCACACGGAUGCAUGUGACAUUUGGUGCUGAAGACCCAGGACAGGAGGACUCCUUUGGGAGACCAGUGCCCUGUUGUCGCCCUCACUCCGUGAGGAGAUCCACCUAUGAUCUCAGGUCCUCAGACCAACCAGCCCAAGGAACAUCUUGCCAAUUUCAAAUCGGGUAAGAGUGUCAGGCCUCUGAGUCCAAGCUAAGCCAUCAAAUCCCCUGUGACCUGCACGUGUACAUCCAGAUGACCUGAAGCAACUGAAGAUCCACAAAAGAAGUGAAAGUAGCCUUAACUGAUGACAUUCCACCAUUGUGAUUUGUUCCUGCCCCACGCUAACUGAUACCAUAUAUUCUUCCCCCGCCCUUGAGAAUGUACUUUGUACACCUAUCCCAAACCUAUAAGAACUAAUGAUAAUCCUACCACCCUUUGCUGACUCUCUUUUUGGACUCAGCCCGCCUGCACCCAGGUGAAAUAAACAGCCCUGUUGCUCACACAAA